AAUAUCUAAAUUUCAGAUUUCUCUUAGUCAAUACAAAGAGCAACAGGUGCCUCAGUUCCGUGAAUGUCAAUAGAGAGAGAGAGGACACUGCAAAAUUUGAGAAGAGACGUGCUGUGCUCAGGUCAUUCUUUAAAUAUGUUGUGGGCACAUACUUCAGUAACAGCAGCAUCAAGGGUACUGAGAAAGGUCCAUCAGAGUAUAACCAUCAGGCGACAGAUACCUACAUUGUCUGUUCUGGACAUAAAUGCUACGCCCACAUCUCAGGAAAUUACCAAAUCUUUCUGAUGUUUUCUGCCAAAAUUCCAACGUUUGCUAUGAGGUCUGUCUGCGUGAAAACUUUGAAUCUCUUCAUAAAGGACAAAAACAAUCAAAUAUGAACAUUUUGUAGAACUUUUGUUUGGAUCUGUGGAAUAGUGAAAUAUUUAUAUAUAUAUGUGAAACAAUGUAUAGAUAAGUAAAAUGUAUACACGUAUAUGUGAAACAAUGUAUAGAUAAGUAAAAUGUAUAUACGUAUAUGUGAAACAAUGUAUAGAUAAGUAAAAUGUAUAUACGUAUAUGUGUAACAAUGUAUAGAUAAGUAAAAUGUAUAUACGUAUAUGUGAAACAAUGUUUGGAUUACAAUAAUCCCAAAGUGGUUUGAAAGAAAUAUAUAUUUUGUGUAUAUUGAACAAAUGUACUUCAUAUUGUCAAUGUCAAAUUUUUUGAAAAUGUUUAUAUUAUGCUGAAGUUUUUUUUAUUUAAAUUUAAAUUAAAAGAAAUUUUUAAUUUUCACUGGGUAGUUUGAAUAAAUUUGUAUUUCAGUAUUUCCCAUUGUAAUUCAUCCCAGUUUUUGUAAACAAAACCUUAAAAGCUUUAGUCCCAAUCUCACAGACACUUAGAUUAUAAAUGAGUACACAAGCCUUGGUCAUUCAGUUUAUACCUCACUCCUCCCAAUCUUCUUAACCAAGUGCAACCUUUGCCAAGCUUAAUGCCAUAAAAGAAAUUUAAAAAGUAAAAAAAAACACUGAAUUAAUUGACUUGGAACUUCAAACCCCAUCACUCAGCACCCAACCUAUCUACCAAUGUGCUCCAAAGUGUUUGGUACAGAUUAUACUUGCUAACAUCAAUGUUAUUGAUGCUUGGUUCAAUGGAGCUUAUACCAGUUUUGUUUUCUUUUUAAUUUUACAACUUUAGAAGCUCCAAUAAAUAAAAUGACAU
rnacentral:sRNA from 1 species